rnacentral:tRNA from 1 species
GUUCUAGCUCAGUGGUAGAGCACUUGCCUAGCAUGUGUGAGGUACUGGAUUCGAUCCUCAGCACUACA